UAAUCUGCGAUAAGCGCCGGUAAGGUGAUAUGAACCGUUAUAACCGGCGAUACCCGAAUGGGGAAACCCAGUGUGACUCGUCACACUAUCAUUAACUGAAUCCAUAGGUUAAUGAGGCGAACCGGGGGAACUGAAACAUCUAAGUACCCCGAGGAAAAGAAAUCAACCGAGAUUCCCCCAGUAGCGGCGAGCGAACGGGGAGGAGCCCAGAGCCUGAAUCAGCAUGUGUGUUAGUGGAAGCGUCUGGAAAGGCGCGCGAUACAGGGUGACAGCCCCGUACACAAAAGCGCAUGUGCUGUGAGCUCGAUGAGUAGGGCGGGACACGUGGUAUCCUGUCUGAAUAUGGGGGGACCAUCCUCCAAGGCUAAAUACUCCUGACUGACCGAUAGUGAACCAGUACCGUGAGGGAAAGGCGAAAAGAACCCCGGCGAGGGGAGUGAAAAAGAACCUGAAACCGU
rnacentral:rRNA from 1 species